rnacentral:lncRNA from 1 species
AUUCUCAUUCAUCAUUCCUAUUUAUUUUUUUAAGUAAACACAUCAAUAACAUUCCAAUACAUUUCUAUUUCUAUUUAUUUUUAUCAAGUAAACAUUGAAAUCUUAUUUUCAUUCUAAUUUAUUCUUAUUUCUAAUCCAUUCUCAUUCUCAUUACACUCCAUUACCAUUCCCACGAAGUAAACUCCCCAUUAGUACGGGUUAAUAUGUGGAAACACGCGAAGUAGUGAACAACACGCAAGCAAACAUCACAAGCAUUUGUCAACCCUAACGACGUUAGUUGACUUAUUACCAGAAGAAAGACAGGUUUAAGUAGUGGUUGAUGUUGACGGCGUUGUUCGUUUCACUUUCACUUUUGAUUCUGGACGUAGACGACGCGUCGCCUGGCUUUAUUCGCGGAAAUAACGUGAUUGACUGACUGACGGUGUGCGUCCUCUAAUCUUUUUUGUGGCUGCGGGCCCAUGAAUCCUGAGCUUAAAAUAUUUCUUUUGCAAUUUGACGUACGCCGGUACCCACUGCCUCGGCUGUCUUCCUCUAAUUGGAUAGUUUUUGUUUUUAUAUCUAUUGUAUAUAUGGAUUAAGAUUUUAUCCUAAUUUUUUUUUCUCUCUUAAUCUGUUUUAAAUCUGGUGAAAA